UAUAUCGUUGGGCUCAGUCCAAUUCCAACAAUUUCCGAAUAUAGGAAACGAACAAUACAAAUCAGUUUUAGCAGAAAUGAAAUCGUUGGUGUCACCGAAUUGUUAUUGAUGAUUUGAAAUGUUACAUUAAAAACAUCAAAAAACAAUUCUUUACAAAUCUAAUAAAACAACCAAGUUCUUACUCGCCCGCUGAAAGCUCCAAAUCAACCCUGCACAAGUUCGAAAAUCAUAGGGGAAUGUGUGUUAUAUAAUAAAAUAAAAAAGGGCUAAACGAAGUGAAUACAAGAACAAAUAACAAAAAUCAUCAUCAGAAUGGAAAGUUGUUCUCAUCCACAGCAAAAUUUAUGCUGUGUAGGAAGGUGUCCUAAGAUUAUUCCAUAUCUCAUCAAAUGAUGAACAUAUCUGACUAACCCAUCAAAACAAUUUUGAUAUAACUCAAAAACACAAAAUCAAAAGCAAAUCAAGACAUUAGAUUCAGAAGUGUAUCAGUUAGCAUCACUCGAUAUUGAAUAUCUCAGAUCAAGUGUUGGAUAAUAUGAUUGCUUCAUCCCAAUCUAUGAUCCAUGACUAACUAGAAUUCAAAAACAGACAGAAACAAACAUCAGACCAAAAGUUUCAAGUGGGAAAGGGAAAUCAACUCAGUGGUGGCGAUAUAAUAAUUAGGUUCGAUUCUGCCAGCAAUUUUCCUCAACUUUAACUCAGAAGAGGGAGCUUGGUAUCCUCAUAGCAAUUCCCUUUCCCACGAAAAUUUAUAAUUAAAAACAAUUUUCACAGAAAAUCAUAAAUUAAAAGCAUACGAAUCUCUAGGCUAUCAAAUGUGAAAGGGAAAGAGAUGGCUCAGUUCAGCGGGGUUGUCGACACGCAAACUUCUCUAUGAAAGAGAAGCCUGCAUUCCGGUCUGUUGAGCUUGAAUUUCAUUGGGUCAUCACCGCCAUCUCUUUCUCUCAUCAACUCAUUUCAAACAAAAAACUAGCUUUCGACCAUUGAAACAAUUACAGGGCAAUUUGGAGGCAGGGAGAGUGAAACUAAACCCUAGAUGAAGAUGAGGGGCGGGGUUGACACUGGGAUGCAGUCGUUGGGCAUCGUUUUAUAGAGACAGAGCUAGGGUUUUCG
rnacentral:lncRNA from 1 species